AAAGUCGUAACAAGGUAACCGUAGGUGAACCUGCGGUUGGAUCAUUAACAAAUUAAAGCGUUCGAUUGAAAAAAUUUUUUCGAUCGUUCUCAACAUUAUGUGAACUUUUUAUUGAAUCUUGGUGAUAGUUGAAUGUCAAGGUCUCUUUCCUAGCUUUAGGUUAGAAAUUAAGAUUUUUCGACUUCACCAAUGUUAAACUUUUUAUAAAUAUAAUAACUUGUCUUGAAUUUUAAUUAUAUCUUAAUUUAAAACAACUUUUGACAACGGAUCUCUAGGCUCUC
rnacentral:misc_RNA from 1 species